UACGGAAGUGGCUAGCGUUGUUCGGAAUUACUGGGCGUAAAGAGCGCGUAGGCGGCUUACCAAGUUGGGGGUGAAAUCACGGAGCUCAACUCCGGAACUGCCUUCAAAACUGGUAGGCUCGAGUCCGGAAGAGGGGCGUGGAAUUCCCAGUGUAGAGGUGAAAUUCGUAGAUAUUGGGAAGAACACAGGUGGCGAAGGCGGCGCCCUGGUCCGGUACUGACGCUGAGGCGCGAAAGCGUGGGGAGCAAACAGG
rnacentral:rRNA from 1 species